UACGAAGGGGGCUAGCGUUGCUCGGAAUUACUGGGCGUAAAGCGCGCGCAGGCGGUCUUCCAAGUCAGUGGUGAAAGCCCGGAGCUCAACUCCGGAACUGCCAUUGAAACUGUUCGACUUGAGUACGAGAGAGGUGAGUGGAAUUCCCAGUGUAGAGGUGAAAUUCGUAGAUAUUGGGAAGAACACCGGUGGCGAAGGCGGCUCACUGGCUCGUAACUGACGCUCAGGCGCGACAGCGUGGGGAUCAAACAGG
rnacentral:rRNA from 1 species